AGUACGUGAAACCGCUUAGUAGUAAACAGAGGGGCUCUCGAAGUCGGCGGUGACGGUUCAGGGUGACGGCGGGGCGGCCUGGGGGCUUGGGAUUAGCAAUAACCCUGUCCCUUUGUUGGCUCUGUCGGCGCCUGCACUUCGUUGCCGCCAUACGCGACGAACCGUUUUUGACGGACCGAGGGCGUGGGUGAAGUUUGCGGGCUUCGGCCUUCAAGCCCCGCGUUCCUGGCUCUGUCGGGGACGGGUAGUGGAGCGAUCUCUUAUAGAGAGUGUCCUUGUUGGCACGGUUCGCAUCUCUGUCGCGAGUAGGUCGGCGGCCCCUCUGACCCGUCUUGAAACACGG
rnacentral:rRNA from 1 species